rnacentral:lncRNA from 1 species
UUUCUGUGAGCCUAUGAUACGGUUGCACACCGUUCAUCUUUCUGUCAACUUUUCUUGGGAAGGAAGCAUAUAUGUGACAACAUUUAAUUUUCCACCACUUCUGCAAUGUUCUUCUAACUGAGAAGUAGGAGAUGUCAUUUACUAGCAGGUACGUUUGCUCACAGAUGUUUAAUUAAAAUCUAAAGUGAAGUCUUUUUGAUGAUCAUAUUCUGUAAAUGUACAAGAGUGGAAUUAUGCUGACAUAAUUACAGAAUUGGUAAAUAUCAAAUAUUAAGGUUGCUAUGCUUAAACAUUCUCCAAAACGAGUUUGCUUUGAAGUUGAGUUUGUUAAAUUUCCACUUGUGUCAUGCUGAUUGCAUGGCAAUCAGCCACACAUUAAAAGAAUUGCAUAUGAAACAACUAGCAGAAGUGAG